rnacentral:rRNA from 1 species
UACGGAGGGUGCAAGCGUUAUCCGGAUUCACUGGGUUUAAAGGGUGCGUAGGCGGGUUGAUAAGUCAGUGGUGAAAGCUCCGGGCUUAACUUGGAAACUGCCAUUGAUACUGUCAAUCUUGAAUGUCGUAGAGGUAAGCGGAAUGUUGCAUGUAGCGGUGAAAUGCUUAGAUAUGUUACAGAACACCAAUUGCGAAGGCAGCUUACUAUGCGAUAAUUGACGCUGAGGCACGAAAGCGUGGGGAGCAAACAGG